AAGUCGUAACAAAGGUUUCCGUAGGUGAACCUGCGGAAGGAUCAUUAAAAGUGAUUGGUUAUACAUUUCAUGAUAUUCAACUGCAUUUAACCCAUUCCGAAGUACCUUGCCUGUUGUCUUCCAUGGGGCCUACCUAGGUCACUCUUGUGAUGUGAAACCCAAGAGAGCCCCAUGGGGGGUAAUCAUUAAAUUCAUGAAUCCAAUGUCUUCUGUCUGAAAUGUUUAAAACAAUUGUUAAAA
rnacentral:misc_RNA from 1 species